CAAAAUGCGAUGAAGGGGAAAAGGCGAUCCCACGCCCCGUUUCAGAGAGCCGCCGGUCGGUGCAAGGCGGUACGGAGGGGACCGCGUCACUGGCCCUUGAGCAGCCGCGCUGAGAGGCGUCGCCUUUAGGUGCGGACGGCCGCUGUCCGUUAUCAUGCAGACGCGAUUCGCCCCCCUCAGGAGGAGCCGAUCGUACAGAGUGGCCGGGUCUCCCGGCAAUGAGAGUGGUACCGCGGGUACAGCAUUUUUUGCUCCCGUCUCUCAA
rnacentral:ncRNA from 1 species